rnacentral:rRNA from 1 species
AACGAACGCUGGCGGCAGGCUUAACACAUGCAAGUCGAACGCACCUUUCGGGGUGAGUGGCAGACGGGUGAGUAACGCGUGGGAAUCUACCCUUCUCUACGGGAUAGCUCCGGGAAACUGGAAUUAAUACCGUAUACGUCCUGAGGGAGAAAGAUUUAUCGGGGAAGGAUGAGCCCGCGUUGGAUUAGCUAGUUGGUGGGGUAAAGGCCUACCAAGGCGACGAUCCAUAGCUGGUCUAAGAGGAUGAUCAGCCACAUUGGGACUGAGACACGGCCCAAACUCCUACGCGAGGCAGCAGUGGGGAAUAUUGGACAAUGGGCGCAAGCCUGAUCCAGCCAUGCCGCGUGAGUGAUGAAGGCCCUAGGGUUGUAAAGCUCUUUCAGUGGGUACGAUAAUGACGGUACCCACAGAAGAAGCCCCGGCUAACUUCGUG